UACGUAGGGGGCUAGCGUUGUUCGGAAUUACUGGGCGUAAAGGGCGUGUAGGCGGCCUGCUAAGUCGAACGUGAAAUCCCCGGGCUCAACCCGGGAACUGCGUCCGAUACUGGUUGGCUUGAAUUCGGGAGAGGGAUGCGGAAUUCCAGGUGUAGCGGUGAAAUGCGUAGAUAUCUGGAGGAACACCGGUGGCGAAGGCGGCAUCCUGGACCGGCAUUGACGCUGAGGCGCGAAAGCCAGGGGAGCAAACGGG
rnacentral:rRNA from 1 species